AGAUAGCCUUGUGUGUCACCUAAGACAAUUCAGUUGGGUGUUUUUCUAUGAUAUAAACCACAGCUGUACCUGCCUCAUCUUGUGAAAAUAAAGUAUAAAAUAUUCAGUGUGGAAUGCCUGUCAACAUUUAGAAAUGUAAGAUGAUAGACUGCUCUUCCUUUGCCUUCCCACAAGUGACCCUAAGUUCAUCUCGAUGUACAUUUCUGGAAAGUUUUGUAUAUGUCACAAUUGCUGAUUUAGAAAAUAAGACAUGCAUAAAAGUGACCCUCAAAAUGAAAGAUAAUGGGUGUUUUCAUAGAGAUGCAUAUUUUAUUUUCAUUAAAUGUUAUGUUAUGUGAAUUUAUUUAAAUCCAUAGUAAAUUGUUUUGCUACUGAGCUCCUUUUAAGGGAAAUGUCCUUGGUGACUGAAGCACUCAGGCCCUGUCCUGCUGUGGUGUCAUAUGGGCAUAAUGCUUCAGAGAGGGACCUACUAGAGUUGCUGUGUUUGGCUGCUUAACAAAUUUGAAAGCAAAUGUCCAAUUUUCUUUGAGAAUAUGUGUUUUGCCUGCUGUUUCAAAUAUAUUUUCCAAGGUUUAUUUCUUUCCUUCUAUACUGUGUGGACAAGGAUGUUUUUAGAUUAACAAUUUUUUGCCCCCUAGGAUCAAAUAUAGAAUAAUUCCUCAAGGAAACGCAUGAAUGGAAUGAGAUAGUUAAGAGUCCCACAGUUUCCUCUGGUUAGCCUGAGGCAUAGGAGGAGAAUUUUCUGUCUAGUUCCAAAUAGUAAGAUAGAAACGCCUUGAAGUCUUUCCCCUACUGUAAAUUGAUAUUCUGUCUUGAAGGAGCCAUUUUAAUUAAUUUCCUCAGUCAAACAUUCUGUGCAAAUGUUGAGACAUACAGCAUGUUAACUUUAUGGUACCUAUCAAAUAGUUUUAUUUUAUUUAUAAAGUCAGAAAUGCUCUAUUUAGGCUUCCUGGAAAUAGAGACAAUCAUUUUAAUUACUAAAGGUGCUACUUAUUUUCCAACACUGACCUUGAUCAAGAGUGCUCCUGUCUGCUGAGUUUUAUGUGUUCUAUUUUUAGGAGUGGGGAGCAGUGCAAUAAAAUUCAUUUAUCUCUUUUUUUUGAAUUAUGCAACUUGAGAAAAAUCUAUAACUAUUUGUACUCUAUUGUUACUGUAUUUUAAUGAUUACCACUCAUGAAUUUAAUUGCAGCUCUGUGCUGUUUGUUAAAAAGUACAUGUGUAUAUAUUUCUAUAGUAUGUAAGAAAAACUUGUAUUGCUUUUAUUAAAGUAAAAUUUAUGUUCAUGUUGAGUUUUAAAAUGAAAUCUGUAACUUUGUCCUUAACCAUCAAAUGCUGUGCUAUUCUAGUAUCAAAACAUGAUGUCCAACUCCAGCCCAUGUGUAAGGGCACUUCUUUGCCUGGAUGUAUAUAACUGAUUAAUAUCAAUGGGAAGAUUAAUGUCAACAUGAAAAAUAUAUUCAAUGACUUCUAAUGGCUG
rnacentral:lncRNA from 1 species